rnacentral:rRNA from 1 species
AUUGAACGCUGGCGGCAUGCCUUACACAUGCAAGUCGAACGGUAACAGGUUAAGCUGACGAGUGGCGAACGGGUGAGUAAUGUAUCGGAACGUGCCCAGUCGUGGGGGAUAACUGCUCGAAAGAGCAGCUAAUACCGCAUACGACCUGAGGGUGAAAGCGGGGGAUCGCAAGACCUCGCGCGAUUGGAGCGGCCGAUAUCAGAUUAGGUAGUUGGUGGGGUAAAGGCCUACCAAGCCUACGAUCUGUAGCUGGUCUGAGAGGACGACCAGCCACGCGGAGACUGAGACACGGCCCAGACUCCUACGGGAGGCAGCAGUGGGGAAUUUUGGACAAUGGACGCAAGUCUGAUCCAGCCAUGCCGCGUGCGGGAAGAAGGCCUUCGGGUUGUAAACCGCUUUUGUCAGGGAAGAAAAGGGUGUUUCUAAUAAAGACGCCUCAUGACGGUACCUGAAGAAUAAGCACCGGCUAACUACGUGCCAGCCGCCGCCGUAAUAC